GCCUACGGGACGCAGCAGUGAGGAAUAUUGGUCAAUGGGCUUACGCCUGAACCAGCCAAGUCGCGUGAGGGAAGACUGCCCUAUGGGUUGUAAACCUCUUUUGUCAGGGAGCAACGCCGGCUACAUGUAGCCGGACUGAGAGUACCCGCAGAAUAAGCAUCGGCUAACUCCGUGCCAGCAGCCGCGGUAAUACGGAGGAUGCGAGCGUUAUCCGGAUUUAUUGGGUUUAAAGGGUGCGUAGGCGGAUUUUUAAGUCAGCGGUAAAAUGUCCGGGCUCAACCCGGGCCGGCCGUUGAAACUGGGGG
rnacentral:rRNA from 1 species